AUGGAUCACCUACUCAACAUCAAGCCUCCUCUCCCGCUCCCAGCCCCCUCUGCCUCCACCGACAACCUCAAGCUGAGGGCAUCCACGGAGGCCGUCCUCAAGGCCAGGCAUCUCCUCCACGCCUUCGUCGUCAAGCACGCCGGCCGCCUCGCAGGAGCCCUCGCCGGAGCAAGGUCGGCGCUCCUUGCUCUCCUCAACGCCAAGACCGGCCUCGUCACCAGCAAGCUGAGGAGAAGGUCGUCGUCGACCAAGGCCAGGAAGAAGGGCAAGGAACCGUGCUGCUCCGGCGGCGGCGGUGGCAAUGCCACCCCGACGCAGUACCUCAACCUGCUCCCUGACGGUGCCGUGCCUUCGUGGUCGUUAGGGGAGCCAUCGCCCGCUGAGAUUGAGGCCGCCGCCGGCGCGGCCUACUACUACGACCCGUCGUGGAACGCGGUGAUCCCUGCCGAACAGCUGUCGCCGAUGAUCGCCGGCCGGUUUCUGGAGUGGCCCGAGCCGGACGGGGUGGAGGAGGAGGGCUGUUGCAACGAGAUCGACAGCCUCGCUGAGAGGUUCAUCGCCAGGUGCCAUGAGAGGUUCGUCCUGGAGAAGCAGGCGUCCUUCAGGAGAUUCCAGGAGAUGCUGGCUAGGAGCUUUUAG
rnacentral:rRNA from 1 species